rnacentral:rRNA from 1 species
UGGGGAAUAUUGGGCAAUGGAGGGAACUCUGACCCAGCAACGCCGCGUGAAGGAAGAAGGUUUUCGGAUUGUAAACUUCUGUCGCAGGGGACGAAGAAUGACGGUACCCUGUAAGAAAGCCCCGGCUAACUACGUGCCAGCAGCCGCGGUAAUACGUAGGGGGCAAGCGUUGUCCGGAAUGACUGGGCGUAAAGGGCGCGUAGGCGGCCUGAUAAGUCUGGAGUGAAAGUCCUGCUUUUAAGGUGGGAAUUGCUUUGGAGACUGUCGGGCUUGAGUGCAGAAGAGGUAAGUGGAAUUCCCAGUGUAGCGGUGAAAUGCUUAGAUAUCACGAAGAACUCCAAUUGCGAAGGCAGCUUGCUGGACUGUAACUGACGCUGAUGCUCGAAAGUGUGGGUAUCAAACA